AACGAACGCUGGCGGCAGGCUUAACACAUGCAAGUCGAGCGCCCCGCAAGGGGAGCGGCAGACGGGUGAGUAACGCGUGGGAAUCUACCCAUCUCUACGGAAUAACGCAUGGAAACGUGUGCUAAUACCGUAUACGUCCUUCGGGAGAAAGAUUUAUCGGAGAUGGAUGAGCUCGCGUUGGAUUAGCUAGUUGGUGGGGUAAAGGCCUACCAAGGCGACGAUCCAUAGCUGGUCUGAGAGGAUGAUCAGCCACACUGGGACUGAGAGACGGCCCAAACUCCUACGGGAGGCAGCAGUGGGGAAUAUUGGACAAUGGGCGCAAGCCUGAUCCAGCCAUGCCGCGUGAGUGAUGAAGGCCCUAGGGUUGUAAAGCUCUUUCACCGUUGAAGAUAAUGACGGUAACCGGAGAAGAAGCCCCGGCUAACUUCGUGCCAGCCGCCGCGGUAAAAC
rnacentral:rRNA from 1 species